CGUUUGCACUGUAGCAUUUGGGAAAAAAGAAAAACCUCCACCGCACAGAGCCAGAACCCUCGUGCUCCUCCGGCGGCGACGGGCGGCGGAGGUGUGGAACUCGUCACGGCGCACAGGUCCACCAGCGUCCGGCACUCCUGCGCCGGCAACUUCGCCAGCCACCACCAGCUCAACCACAUCAUCGCGCGCGUCCGCACCUGCACGACCCCCCUAGGGUUUUGCUCCGGCUAGAGGCGGGCGCCUGAGUCAUUCCUCUUCGUCGAAUUGUUUUUUCUGAUUAGCUUUCCGGGGGGAUUCCUAGUGCAGGUGUACAAUAUCCUUCUGAAAGUUCUUUUGCGAUCUGAUUUCACCUUCCAAUCGGGUUCGGAGCGACCCUUGUCCUCUAUAUCACACAAUUGUGAUUUCAAGCAUCCUCUGCAAAAAUCGAUGAAGAAAGCUUCUGCUUCCGAUGACUCUCCAGAUUCGAGCACAGGCUGCGAUUGGUCCCAGCUUCAGGCUGACGUGCUCCUCCAGAUCUUUGGCACUCUCGAGAUCCCAGAUCUCUUCAGCUCAGGUGCGGUCUGUUGAUCCUGGCACCUCAUUUAGCUAGUGGCCCGUCGUUUCCGCUUGUGCUCGCCGAAACAGAGCCCCUGCCUUGUUUACUCAUCUGGCGACCGUGGUGCUGACACGGUCACCCUGCAUAACAUGUCCACCAACAAGCUUUACCAUGUCACUCUAUCGGAGCCUGCCUUCCGCACACGCCACAUCAUGGGCUCCUCGUACGGCUGGCUCAUCACUGCGGAUGAGCGGUCGAAUCUCAUACUAGUCAAUCCUGCAACCAGAGCUCAGAUAGCUAUGCCUCCACCUGAAACCAUGAACAAUGUUAGACUGCGCUACACUGAAGAGGGCGUGCUAGAUGGAUAUGAUGUCCUUUACAUGGAUCUGUUCUCUUCGGAUUUUGACACAGAAACGGAGCCAUACCAUCUUACACUUGAAGAAGCCCGCUUCUUCUUUUAUGAGAGGGUUGUUCUUUCUUGCGAUCCUUCCCAAGGAAACUGCACAGUGCUACGAGUACAACUGCCCAAUAAUCAACUCUCUUAUACCAGGGUUGGGGACUCCAAAUGGACUUGGAUUGGUGGAAAAGGCAAUUGCUGGAAAUAUCAAGAUAUUCUUCAUAACAACAAUGAUGGUUUGUUUUAUGGUGUUCGUGGUAGGGGUGAAGUUGAUUCUAUUAAUCUUAAUGGACCUUCCGCUGAAGUGAAAGUUAUUUUGAAGCCGAUCAUAUCCUAUCAAGCGCAUAGUAGAUAUAUUGUUCAAGCACCAUGGGGAGAUCUUUUCCAGAUAUGGAGACAUGAUAAGUAUAGUAAUGAGAAUGGAAAAAGAGAACGGGUUGCAGACAAGUUUUUCGUGUACAAGAUUGAUUUGUUGAACAAAAGCUUGUUGAAAUAAAUAACCUCCAAGAUCAUGCAAUGUUCAUUGGUUUCAACAGCCCAUUCCUGCUCCUGGUGAAAGACUUCUCUACAUUGAUUCCCAAUAGCAUCUGCCACACGGAUGACUUGCUCAGAUAUAUCUACUCUCACAGAUAUAGUCUUAGGCAGGUUGUUGUUUUCAAUAUGGAAGAUAGCAGUUUCAUCGAGUUAUCGCCCCCUAGUUCAGAUUCAAGAUUGAACUGGCCGCCCCCGGUUUGGAUUCAACCAUCACUUACUUGAGGCACCAGAGCAUUCACAUCUGAAGGCUCACAUCUUGGAAAACAAACUUUUUUUGAGAAGCUUCAUCCCUUGGUCAUCACAAACUUGUACAGUUCAAAUAACAAGAUUAGUGCCUCUGCUGCGUCUAUUGUUUUAGUUGGUUCAAGUGAGGAACUUGGGAUUAUCAGUAACUGUUCAUCAGGUAUCCCAGUUAACGCUGCUAUCUCCUUGUGGUGGAACUGUUUCUUUGGUCGGAACCUGAUCUUAUUCAUUAUAGGUGUACUUGUUGGAGGAAAUUUUGCCGUCAAGCAAAUGUUUCCCUUGCUUAGGAUUCUUGUUGUAAUCUCAUGUAUCGACUAGCAAUCCAGAUGAGUAAUCCAGAGUCGCAACAUAGUUGGAACUUCUUUGCUCUAAUUGAUGAUGGCUCCAGCUGUGAGGCAAUCUGCUGCAGAGAGGACCAGGACGUGAUGCCAAAACUUCCUGGAGAAGACACCCUGUGAGCUUUGAGGAAAGGAUCGUCAGCCUGGCCACAAAGCACGUUUGCUCCUGGGGAACGGUCGCGAGUUAUCAUUUCUCAAAAUGAUAUAUAUGUGUGCAAAGUUGUUCUACUGAAAUAAUACACCCUUAAACCUUUGAGAAUUGAAUUAAUUCAGUUUCUUGAGCAACAAUAUUGUACAAUUAUCCAUAUAAAUUUUCUGUAGCUAAUAUCGUGUAGGAACAAAAAUACCAAAUGUAUUGACAAAAUUUUACCAAUUACU